UACGUAGGGUGCAGGCGUUAAUCGGAAUUACUGGGCGUAAAGCGUGCGCAGGCGGUCUUUUAAGUCAGAUGUGAAAUCCCCGGGCUUAACCUGGGAACUGCGUUUGAAACUGAAAGGCUAGAGUGUGGCAGAGGGGGGUGGAAUUCCGCGUGUAGCAGUGAAAUGCGUAGAUAUGCGGAGGAACACCGAUGGCGAAGGCAAUCCCCUGGACCUGUACUGGCGCUCAUGCACGAAAGCGUGGGGAGCAAACAGG
rnacentral:rRNA from 1 species